GAUGAACGCUGGCGGCGUGCCUAAUACAUGCAAGUCGAGCGAACGGACGAGAAGCUUGCUUCUCUGAUGUUAGCGGCGGACGGGUGAGUAACACGUGGAUAACCUACCUAUAAGACUGGGAUAACUUCGGGAAACCGGAGCUAAUACCGGAUAAUAUUUUGAACCGCAUGGUUCAAAAGUGAAAGACGGUCUUGCUGUCACUUAUAGAUGGAUCCGCGCUGCAUUAGCUAGUUGGUAAGGUAACGGCUUACCAAGGCAACGAUGCAUAGCCGACCUGAGAGGGUGAUCGGCCACACUGGAACUGAGACACGGUCCAGACUCCUACGGGAGGCAGCAGUAGGGAAUCUUGCGCAAUGGGCGAAAGCCUGACGGAGCAACGCCGCGUGAGUGAUGAAGGUCUUCGGAUCGUAAAACUCUGUUAUUAGGGAAGAACAUAUGUGUAAGUAACUGUGCACAUCUUGACGGUACCUAAACAGAAAGCCACGGCUAACUACGUG
rnacentral:rRNA from 1 species